ACCCCAGUCAGUUAUCUCAACACAUGACAUUGCUCACAUUGCUUCCAGUAUUUUAUUAGCCAGCUCGGGUGCUGGCUAUUUUUU
rnacentral:antisense_RNA from 1 species